GUUUGAAUAGUUUAAAUAAAACACUGCAUUUUCAUUGCAGAGAUGAAAUUAUUCUUCAAAUU
rnacentral:tRNA from 1 species